CGUAAUCUCGUAAAAAUUCGUUCAAAUGUUAAUUGCAAAAUUAACUUCAGCACAAGAGUCUCCAUACUUCGGUAUGAAUUCUUUUGCUCUAGCUUUCGCGUAAGCCUAGGCUAGUGUCUCUCUUAUAGACUUCCGAUAUAUAAGAUGGGGCAUCAUAUUAUCGGGAUAGGGGAAAGAAUGUCCUGACUUCCUUCCGAAACAAAGGGACUCGAUUAAAAAAUAUUUGGCUCGCUUAAGAAUUUUUUAAUCUAAACAAAAAAAGCGCGCUAUGUAUGUAGACUUCUUUGCAAAAACCUUCUGCACCGGGGUUCGAUUCCCCGCAGUUCCACUA
rnacentral:tmRNA from 1 species